rnacentral:rRNA from 1 species
CUCGUAGGCGGUUCGGUAAGUCGGGUGUGAAAACUCUAGGCUCAACCCUAGAGAGGCCACUCGAUACUGCUGUGACUAGAGUGCGGUAGGGGAGCGGGGAAUUCAUGGUGUAGCGGUGAAAUGCGCAGAUAUCAUGAGGAACACCAGUGGCGAAGGCGCCGCUCUGGGCCGUAACUGACGCUGAGGAGCGAAAGCAUGGGUAGCAAACA